rnacentral:rRNA from 1 species
UACGUAUGGUGCAAGCGUUAUCCGGAUUUAUUGGGUUUAAAGGGUGCGUAGGCGGGAUGCCAAGUCAGCGGUAAAAAUGCGGUGCUCAACGCCGUCGAGCCGUUGAAACUGGCGUUCUUGAGUGGGCGAGAAGUAUGCGGAAUGCGUGGUGUAGCGGUGAGAUGCAUAGAUAUCACGCAGAACUCCGAUUGCGAAGGCAGCAUACCGGCGCCCUACUGACGCUGAGGCACGAAAGCGUGGGUAUCGAACAGG